rnacentral:misc_RNA from 1 species
GAUGAAGAACGUAGUGAAAUGCGAUAAGUAGUGUGAAUUGCAGAAUUCAGUGAAUCAUCGAAUCUUUGAACGCACAUUGCGCCCCUCGGUAUUCCGUGGGGCAUGCCUGUUCGAGCGUCAUUUAACCCCUCAAGCCUAGCUUGGUAUUGGGUGCUUGUCCCGCCUCUCGCGCGGCGACUCACCUCAAAGUCAUUGGCAGCCCGCAUCUCGCCGGCCGUGAGCGCAGCACAGACGCGCUCUUGGCAACGACGGAUCGGCUCUCCAAAAGCUUAUUUCAACCACUGACCUCGGAUCAGGUAGGGAUACCCGCUGAACUUAAGCAUAUCAAAAGCGGAGGA